AGAACGAACGCUGGCGGCAUGCCUAAUACAUGCGAGUCGAACGAACUCUUCGGAGUUAGUGGCGCACGGGUGCGUAACGCGUGGGAAUCUGCCCCUUGGUUCGGAAUAACAGUUGGAAACGACUGCUAAUACCGGAUGAUGACGAAAGUCCAAAGAUUUAUCGCCAAGGGAUGAGCCCGCGUAGGAUUAGCUAGUUGGUGAGGUAAAGGCUCACCAAGGCAACGAUCCUUAGCUGGUCUGAGAGGAUGAUCAGCCACACUGGGACUGAGACACGGCCCAGACUCCUACGGGAGGCAGCAGUAGGGAAUAUGGACAAUGGGACGAAAGCCUGAUCCAGCAAUGCCGCGUGAGUGAUGAAGGCCUUAGGGUUGUAAAGCUACGUUUUACCGAG
rnacentral:rRNA from 1 species